rnacentral:rRNA from 1 species
GACGAACGCUGGCGGCGUGCUUAACACAUGCAAGUCGAACGGAAAGGCCCUGCUUUUGUGGGGUGCUCGAGUGGCGAACGGGUGAGUAACACGUGAGUAACCUGCCCUUGACUUUGGGAUAACUUCAGGAAACUGGGGCUAAUACCGGAUAGGAGCUCCUGCUGCAUGGUGGGGGUUGGAAAGUUUCGGCGGUUGGGGAUGGACUCGCGGCUUAUCAGCUUAUUGGUGGGGUAGUGGCUUACCAAGGCUUUGACGGGUAGCCGGCCUGAGAGGGUGACCGGCCACAUUGGGACUGAGAUACGGCCCAGACUCCUACGGGAGGCAGCAGUGGGGAAUAUUGCACAAUGGGCGGAAGCCUGAUGCAGCAACGCCGCGUGCGGGAUGACGGCCUUCGGGUUGUAAACCGCUUUCGCCUGUGACGAAGCGUGAGUGACGGUAAUGGGUAAAGAAGCACCGGCUAACUACGUGCCAGCAGCCGCGGUGAUACGUAGGGUGCGAGCGUUGUCCGGAUUUAUUGGGCGUAAAGGGCUCGUAGGUGGUUGAUCGCGUCGGAAGUGUAAUCUUGGGGCUUAACCCUGAGCGUGCUUUCGAUACGGGUUGACUUGAGGAAGGUAGGGGAGAAUGGAAUUCCUGGUGGAGCGGUGGAAUGCGCAGAUAUCAGGAGGAACACCAGUGGCGAAGGCGGUUCUCUGGGCCUUUCCUGACGCUGAGGAGCGAAAGCGUGGGGAGCGAACAGGCUUAGAUACCCUGGUAGUCCACGCUGUAAACGGUGGGUACUAGGUGUGGGGUCCAUUCCACGGGUCCCGUGCCGUAGCUAACGCUUUAAGUACCCCGCCUGGGGAGUACGGCCGCAAGGCUAAAACUCAAAGGAAUUGACGGGGCCCCGCACAAGCGGCGGAGCAUGCGGAUUAAUUCGAUGCAACGCGUAGAGCCUUACCUGGGUUUGACAUGGAUCGGGAGUGCUCAGAGAUGGGUGUGCCUCUUUUGGGGUCGGUUCACAGGUGGUGCAUGGCUGUCGUCAGCUCGUGUCGUGAGAUGUUGGGUUAAGUCCCGCAACGAGCGCAACCCUUGUUCACUGUUGCCAGCACGUUAUGGUGGGGACUCAGUGGAGACCGCCGGGGUCAACUCGGAGGAAGGUGGGGAUGACGUCAAGUCAUCAUGCCCCUUAUGUCCAGGGCUUCACGCAUGCUACAAUGGCCGGUACAGAGAGUGGCGAGCCUGUGAGGGUGAGCGAAUCUCGGAAAGCCGGUCUCAGUUCGGAUUGGGGUCUGCAACUCGACCUCAUGAAGUCGGAGUCGCUAGUAAUCGCAGAUCAGCAACGCUGCGGUGAAUACGUUCCCGGG